AUGCUGGCCGCCUCUGAAGAGGAGGAGGAGGAGAAGAAGGCCGUGGUGGUGCCGCUGCACAAGACGCCCAAGCAGAGCAAGAGCCGCACCAAAGCCCCCACUCCCAAGGACAAGGAGGAGCAGGAGGAGGAGGACAAGGACAAAGCCGAGAUGGCACACAAGACCCCCAAGCAGAGAAGGAGAGCCUCGCUCAUGGACUCCGAGGAGGAGGAGGAGCAGAAACUCAGCAGCCAGAACAAGGAUGAGAGUGGCACUGCCCUCUCCGGGAGGCGCGAGCGCAAGAAGAGCAAGUAUCUCUCGCCGCCCUACACCAACAUCGGCGUCUUUGCUCUUGAGGACAGGUCAGAUGAUUCGCCAAAGAAAUCACCGCCCACCAGCGCUGCUAACAAGGAUGAGAGCAAGUAUAACAAGGGGUCACCAGAUGAGAAGCAGCUGAAGAAGAAGAGCAAGGUGGUGCCGCCGCCGCUUCCGCUGGACAAUGUUGCUGCUCAGGAGGUCCUGCUGCUGCUGCGCUGCUUCGGGGAGGACGUCUCUCACAAGAGGCACUUCCCCAAGGCCGCGGAGGACUUCCUUGGCCUGCUCAGGAGCUCCGUGUUUGCCGAGGGUGCUCACCAUGACUCCUACAAGGACCAUGAAUGCCCGGUGCCCAAGAAUGCUGCUGCAGACGGCCCUGUUGCUGCUGGCCUGGUUUCAGAUUCAGCUGCUACUCCGAAACAAGGCAAGGGUAAGCGUGGUAGAAAGAAGAAGGAUCAGGAUGGCAGUGCCUAUUCUUCUUCUAUCAACAACAACAACAACAAGAAGAAGAAGACGGGCGCUCUUGACUGUGCAGCGGAGGAUGCUUCUGAGGAGAAUAAGAAAGAGGAGAAUGUUUCUGACAAGAAGAAGAGGGGCAGAAAGAAGAAGGAGCAGGAUGGAACCUCCCCAAAAGGCUCUGUUAUCAACAAGAGGAAGAAGAUGGACAAAACCUCCCCAAAAGCAACUCUUGGGCCUGCCUCUGGCUCUGGCUCUGGCUCUGGCUUGGUUAUCACACCCGCUAUUCCUAUCAGGCAGGUGAGUGCUCAAGAUAUCAUGAGCCAAGUCAAACCAGGCAUGGGAGCUGGGGUUCCUGAUCCCAAGAUGAAGAACAGCUUGUUGGUGUCCAAGAGCCCUAUUUCAGCUACAAUGUCUGGAGGAGUAAAAUCAGGAGAGGAGCAGGAGCAAGGGGACGGUGGAUCCGUUGUGAAUGCUUCAUCUGACCAAUCUGCCAAAAAGAAUGAGGAGGAAGCAACAAAGCCAGCAACUGAUAUGAUGAAUGUGGACGGAGAUGUGCCCCAGAUUCAAGUUACAGUGCCUAUGAAUGUGGAUAUGAAUGUGGAUACUACUCUUAGCCAAGAUGUUGCUGCCAAACAUCAGGCUGACGUUAAAAUGCCUGAAGCUGCUGGUAUGAAUGCGGAUAUUCUUAACGCAGAUGUUCCUGCCGCAAGUGCCCACGCACAAGUGAUGACUGUGCCUGAAACUGGUGGUAUUCAGUUAUUAGAUAUGAAUGUGGAAAGUGUUGUAGAUGUGCCUGUCGUCACAAGUGUCGAGAUGGAAGCCAUGGAGCUGGAAGCUAGUAUUCCUGUACUAGAUAUAAAUGAACAAGUUGCUGCUGUUGAAGAUGUGCCUGCUACAAGUGGCUCGCUUCCACCUAUCCAUGGAGAUAUCAUAUCCCAGCCCGCCGAUGAAAAUAAAGACAAGGCAAGUGUGCAAGUUCGUGCAGUUCAAGAGUCAUACACAUCUCUGAUUCAGGCGAUGCUGCCGGAAACGUACAAGAAAGUGGAGGAGGUCGCUGCUGGAGAUGAUGAGACUAAAAAGGUUGAACAGACUAGCCAGAACAAGGCAGUUGCUGAUGGAGCUAGCCAUUCUUCUCCUGCAAAAGGUACUAGUGGUGGUACCAAUGGGAGCCCCUGCCCUGAUGCACCCAACUCUGCCCAGAAGAGGAGAAACAAGAAGCCCGCAGCAGCAUACUUUGCCAACCCAGCAGAGAUCCGGGUGAAAUUCUUGGACGGCACCAUGGUCCCCACCAAGGAGGAGCUGCUCUCAGAGUUCCGCAGGUUUGGCGUCCUGGUGGAGUCGGAGUGCGACAUAUCAGAAGAGCGCCGCGACGCGCGCGUGGUGUUUGGGAAGAGCACCGAGGCGGAGGCGGCCUACACCAAGGCGGAGAUCCCAGGCAUCUUCGGGCAGUUCGGGCCCCCCUGGGCCACCCUGGGGCUCAACUACCUGGAGGCGAUCACGCUUGCACCUGCCCGUCCUGCCAAGCCCCCGCUGGCUCGUGCCGACAUGAGGAAGAACGUGGAGAACAUGAUCUCGUCCCUGAAGAACGGUCGGUCUUUGCCGGCUCCCGCUCCCGCUGGAGGAGCCGGAGCGGCGCCCGUGUCGGCGAGCCUCCUUGCUGAGAUGCAGCGGCUCCUGUCCAAGCUCGACAAGACGCAGCCGCCCCCUGGGCCUUCGGGCUCGGCUCCUCCGUCGUCGUAG
rnacentral:rRNA from 1 species